rnacentral:rRNA from 1 species
UACGUAGGGCGCAAGCGUUAUCCGGAAUGAUUGGGCGUAAAGCGUCCGCAGGUGGCAGUGUAAGUCUGCUGUCAAAGCGUCUGGCUCAACCAGAUAAAGGCAGUGGAAACUACAUAGCUAGAGUAAGGUAGGGGUAGAGGGAAUUCCUGGUGUAGCGGUGAAAUGCGUAGAGAUCAGGAAGAACACCGGUGGCGAAAGCGCUCUGCUGGACCUUAACUGACACUGAGGGACGAAAGCUAGGGGAGCGAAUGGG